AUUGAACGCUGGCGGCAUGCCUUACACAUGCAAGUCGAACGGCAGCACGGGAGCAAUCCUGGUGGCGAGUGGCGAACGGGUGAGUAAUAUAUCGGAACGUGCCCGGUCGUGGGGGAUAACGUAGCGAAAGCUACGCUAAUACCGCAUACGAUCUACGGAUGAAAGCGGGGGAUCGCAAGACCUCGCGCGAUUGGAGCGGCCGAUAUCAGAUUAGGUAGUUGGUGAGGUAAAGGCUCACCAAGCCGACGAUCUGUAGCUGGUCUGAGAGGACGACCAGCCACACUGGGACUGAGACACGGCCCAGACUCCCUAGGGACGGGACGACGACGACGUA
rnacentral:rRNA from 1 species